rnacentral:rRNA from 1 species
AACGAACGCUGGCGGCGUGCUUAACACAUGCAAGUCGAACGCCCCAUCUGCAAGCAAGCUUGAAGAUAUCAAAUUAUGAUAUCAAACAAGCAGGCUUGUUUGAUGAUGGGGAGUGGCAAACGGGUGAGUAACACGUGGGAACCUACCUUAUAGUUCGGGACAACAGUUGGAAACGACUGCUAAUACCGGAUACGCUCUACGGAGGAAAGAUUUAUCACUAUAAGAUGGGCCCGCGGCAGAUUAGCUAGUUGGUGGGGUAAUGGCCUACCAAGGCAACGAUCUGUAGCUGGUCUGAGAGGACGAUCAGCCACACUGGAACUGAGACACGGUCCAGACUCCUACGGGAGGCAGCAGUGGGGAAUAUUGGACAAUGGGCGCAAGCCUGAUCCAGCAACGCCGCGUGAGUGAAGAAGGCCUUUAGGGUUGUAAAGCUCUUUUGUCAGGGAAGAUAAUGACGGUACCUGAAGAAUAAGCUCCGGCUAACUCUGUGCCAGCAGCCGCGGUAAUACAGAGGGAGCUAGCGUUGUUCGGAAUCACUGGGCGUAAAGCGCACGUAGGCGGCCAACUAAGUCGGGUGUGAAAUCCUGGAGCUUAACUCCAGAACUGCAUUCGAGACUGGAUGGCUUGAGAUUGGUAGAGGAUAGUGGAAUUCCGAGUGUAGAGGUGAAAUUCGUAGAUAUUCGGAGGAACACCAGUGGCGAAGGCGGCUAUCUGGGCCAAUACUGACGCUAAGGUGCGAAAGCGUGGGGAGCAAACAGGAUUAGAUACCCUGGUAGUCCACGCCCUAAACGAUGGAUGCUAGUUGUUGRGGGUUUUACCCUCAGUGACACAGCUAACGSGUUAAGCAUCCCGSCUGGGGAGUACGGUCGCAAGAUUAAAACUCAAAGGAAUUGACGGGGACCCGCACAAGCGGUGGAGCAUGUGGUUUAAUUCGAUGCUACGCGAAAAACCUUACCAUCCUUUGCAUCCCGGUAGAGAAAAGCAGAAAUGCUUUUCGCAUUUAGUUGGACCGGUGACAGGUGUUGCAUGGCUGUCGUCAGCUCGUGUCGUGAGAUGUUGGGUUAAGUCCCGCAACGAGCGCAACCCUCAUCCUUAGUUACCAUCAGGUUAAGCUGGGCACUCUAAGGAAACUGCUCGUGAUAAGCGAGAGGAAGGUGGGGAUGACGUCAAGUCAUCACGGCCCUUACAGGAUGGGCCACACACGUGCUACAAUGGCGGGGACAAUGGGAAGCUAGUCCGCAAGGACAUGCUGAUCUCAAAAAGCCGCCUCAGUUCAGAUUGAGGUCA